rnacentral:rRNA from 1 species
AGCGAACGCUGGCGGCAGGCCUAACACAUGCAAGUCGAACGAAGUCUUCGGACUUAGUGGCGGACGGGUGAGUAACACGUGGGAACGUACCUUUUGGUUCGGAACAACUCAGGGAAACUUGAGCUAAUACCGGAUGAGCCCUUAGGGGGAAAGAUUUAUCGCCGAAAGAGCGGCCCGCGUUAGAUUAGCUAGUUGGUGAGGUAAAGGCUCACCAAGGCUACGAUCUAUAGCUGGUCUGAGAGGAUGAUCAGCCACACUGGGUCUGAGACACGGCCCAGACUCCUACGGGAGGCAGCAGGGGGGAAUCUUGCGCAAUGGGCGAAAGCCUGACGCAGCCAUGCCGCGUGAAUGAUGAAGGUCUUAGGAUUGUAAAAUUCUUUUACCAGGGACGAUAAUGACGGUACCUGGAGAAAAAGCCCCGGCUAACUUCGUGCCAGCCGCCGCCGUAAGAC